rnacentral:rRNA from 1 species
AACUAACGCUGGCGGCGCGUCUUAAACAUGCAAGUCGAACGGUAUCCAUUGAGCUUGCUUAGUGGAGAGAGUGGCGAACGGGUGAGUAACACGUGAAUAAUCUGGCUCCGGGAUGGGGAUAACUACCCGAAAGGGUAGCUAAUACCGAAUAAGAUGGUAGCUGCAUAAGCAGCAGCCAUUAAAGGUGGGGACCGCAAGGCCUACCGUCUGGAGAUGAGUUCGCGGCUGAUUAGCUUGUUGGCGGGGUAACGGCCCACCAAGGCGACGAUCAGUAGCCGGCCUGAGAGGGUGAACGGCCACAUUGGGACUGAGAUACGGCCCAGACUCCUACGGGUGGCUG